rnacentral:tRNA from 3 species
GCCCAGGUGGUGAAAUUGGUAGACACGCUACUUUGAGGGGGUAGUGCCGCAAGGUGUGCUGGUUCGAAUCCAGUUCUGGGCACCA